GAAGGCACAUGCGUGACAUCCAUUUGCCAUAUCUCAUUAGGACCCAACCCCCUAGGAUUAACCCCUACGCCUAGACCAGAACCAUGAUGACUACACUGAGGGCAAGUCCGUACAAUUCCCUUAGCUUCCUCUACAGUGAUCUUAAACUGUGAAUGUAAUCCUUUCGCGUUCUGAUGGAACACACUAUGUGAUUCUCUAGCCUUGGCAAAAUCACUAACAGGGGCAGAACAUGCUACCAACCUAUCUGCUCUAGCAUUCCCUUCCCCAAGGCCACAAUCCCACAUAUGACUACGGAUAUGAAUCACUGCAUAUGGUUUUGUUCUUCCUUGUACCAAUGUACGCAACUGUCUAAACAGUUCUCCCAAGCGCAGUUGCUUAACACCCUUAAUCUGAGAAUCUUCUAUCCUGUGUAACACACCCGCGACAUACAGCGAAUCGGUCACAAUAUUAAUUGUUUCCUCUCUCCACUUUCCCAUGGCCCAUACAACAGCAGCAAGCUCCAAUGUCUGCAAGGAAUCUCCCGGAACAGCUUCCAGCAAGUGGUGGUGCCACUCACCACAAGCGAUCCAGAGAGAUCCACCGGAGUGGAGGGAUCGGUUCCACGCAGCAAUGGUCGUAACACCUCUAACUGCGUAUUGGUAAUACCCACGACAGGCCUCAACCAUUGUAAAUCCCCCAUGAGUUUCUGAACAUCAUGAAGUGUCCUAAUAUCUGUGGUAAUAUGCGGUUUUUGCGGUCGAAUUUGGGAGUCAGUAAUUUUCCACCCUAAGUACAACCACGGUUCUUGUCGCUGAAUUUUUUCCUUAGCAAUUACUAAACCCUCCUUAUACAACUGACAAUGUAAAAAUUGCAAUUGUUGCUCAGUAAAGUCUUGUUCUUGUGCAAUAAGAAUAUCAUCCAUGUAGUGAUACACCAUCGCUGUAGGCCAGGCAUCACGAAUAGGACGCAACGCAUUGUCCACAAACAAUUGACACAAUGUCGGACUAUUUUUCAUUCCUUGCGGUAACACAGUCCACUCAAACCGCUGAGCAGGAGCUUCCCUAUUUAUUGCUGGCAAAGUGAAGGCAAAUCGCUGUGUAUCGAGGUGGUGCAAAGAAAUAGUAAAAAAGCAAUCCUUCAAAUCCACAAUUAACAACUUCCAGUGUUCAGGAAGCAUUGCCGGAUUCGGAAGACCAGGUUGUAAUGCUCCCAUCGGUUGCAUUUGUGCAUUUACAGCUCUCAAAUCAUGAAGCAGUCGGAACUUUCCUGAUUUUUUCUUAAUCACAAAUAUAGGCGUAUUCCAUGGGCUUGUUGACAGUUGCAAAUGUCCUUGAUCAAACUGUUCUUGUACCAACUGAUGUGCUGCUGCAAGACUUUCCAUUUUCAACGGCCACUGCUCGAUCCAUACAGGGUCAUCUGAAGUCCAUUUAAGAGGGAUCGGGAAAGCCCAUUUUGCAGUGACCAUUAGCGAAAAGCCCUUUCAGUUGUCAAAACAGCUCCUAGCUGAUCCAAUAUAUCUCGGCCUAUUAGUCCAUUUACACCUGCAGGAAGAGUCAUCACUGUAACAAAUGAAUUGGCUUUUCGCCCGUCUAUGAUGAACAGGAUACGUUCAAUACUUUGACGUACUGAUGAAUGACCUCCUACUCCUUCAACACCCCCGUCCAUAGGUUUUGUUGGCCAAUCCUGAGGCCAGGUGCCCUCAUCUACGAUGGUCAAAUCAGCCCCAGUGUCCAGUAACAUUGUAAGUAAAAUAGAUUGUCCUCUAGAUUCCAUUCGAACUGACGCAGUUGGUCGCCGGCUCAUUGACAUAGUUAGCAUCACAGCAGGUCCUGUCGAUCCAAAUCCACCACCUCCUCUUUCUGAAGAUAAUGCUGGCGUCAUGUCCUUUGUUAAUUGCGGAAGUGGUAUCAAUUGUGCUAUUUGACUACCCUUCGGAAUGAAAAUCGGAGGAAACAGUGUCUGAACCAUAAUUUGUACAAUCCCUUUGUAAUCGGCAUCAAUAAGUCCCGGGAUAAUCGUAAGGCCUUUCAUACCACUCGACGAACGACCAAUUAACAAUGCCCCUUGUGAUUGUCCAUUAAUUAUUAAAGGUCCUUUAAAGGUG